CUAUUGGAGAGUUUGAUCCUGGCUCAGGACGAACGCUGGCGGCGUGCUUAACACAUGCAAGUCAUGGGGGCCCAGCAAUGGGCAACCGGCGAACGGGUGCGUAACACGUGAGCAACCUACCGAACUGUGGGGGAUAGCCGGCCUAACGGCCGAGUAAUACCGCAUACGCUCUCAGCGAGGCAUUUCAUUGAGAGGAAACCUACGGGACAGAUCGAGGGGCUCGCGGCCUAUCAGCUAGUUGGCGAGGUAACGGCUCACCAAGGCAACGACGGGUAGCUGGUCUGAGAGGAUGGCCAGCCACAUUGGGACUGAGAUACGG
rnacentral:rRNA from 1 species